UGUUGCUCAGCAGUAGAGUACUUGCCUAGCAUGCAAGAGGCCUAGGUUUGAACCCCAGCA
rnacentral:tRNA from 1 species